GGGUGGUUAGCUCAGCGGUAGAGCAUUCGGCUUACAUCCGAAAGGUCGAAGGUUCAAUCCCUUCACCACCCA
rfam:Candidate division WWE3 bacterium RIFCSPLOWO2_02_FTLL_53_10 rifcsplowo2_02_scaffold_7692, whole genome shotgun sequence.